GACGAACGCUGGCGGCGUGCCUAACACAUGCAAGUCGAACGGAAAGGCCCUGCUUUUGCGGGGUGCCCGAGUGGCGAACGGGUGAGUAACACGUGAGUAACCUGCCCUUGACUUUGGGAUAACUUCAGGAAACUGCGGCUAAUACCGGAUAGGAGCUCCUGCUGCAUGGUGGGGGUUGGAAAGCUUCGGCGGGUGGGGAUGGACUCGCGGCUUAUCAGCUGGUUGGUGGGGUAGUGGCCUACCAAGGGUUUGACGGAUAGCCGGCCUGGGAGGGUGACCGGCCACAUUGGGACUGAGAUACGGCCCAGACUCCUACGGGAGGCAGCAGUGGGGAGUAUUGCACAGUGGGGGGGAGCCUGUUGCGGAGACGCCGCGUGCGGGAUGACGGCCUUCGGGUUGUAAACCGCUUUCGCCUGUGACGAAGCGUGAGUGACGGUAAUGGGUAAAGAAGCACCGGCUAACUACGUG
rnacentral:rRNA from 1 species